rnacentral:tRNA from 1 species
GAAGGUAUAGCUGGGUGGUAGAGCACGUGCUUAGCAUGUACGGGGUCCUGGGGUCAAUCCCCUGUACCUCCA